rnacentral:rRNA from 1 species
AGGGUUCGAUCCUGGCUCAGGAUGAACGCUAGCGGCAGGCCUAAUACAUGCAAGUCGAGGGGUAAGAGUCAGCUUGCUGACUACACGACCGGCGCACGGGUGAGUAACGCGUAUGCAACCUACCUUUAACAGAGGAAUAGCCCCGAGAAAUCGGGAUUAAUACCACAUAACAUUAUGAUAUGGCAUCAUAUUAUAAUUAAAACUCUGGUGGUUAAAGAUGGGCAUGCGUGACAUUAGCUUGUUGGUGAGGUAACUGCUCACCAAGGCAACGAUGUCUAGGGGUUCUGAGAGGAUGAUCCCCCACACUGGUACUGAGACACGGACCAGACUCCUACGGGAGGCAGCAGUAAGGAAUAUUGCGCAAUGGAGGAAACUCUGACGCAGCCAUGCCGCGUGCAGGAUUGAAGGCCUUAUGGGUCGUAAACUGCUUUUAUUUAGGAAUAAACUUUCGUACGUGUACGAAACUGAAGGUACUAAACGAAUAAGCACCGGCUAACUCCGUGCCAGCCGCCGCGGUAAUUCA